rnacentral:rRNA from 1 species
GAUGAACGCUGGCGGCGUGCUUAACACAUGCGAGUCGAGCGGACAGACGAGGCGCGUGCUCCUCUGACGUUAGCGGCGGGCGGGUGACAAACAAGCGGACAACCUCCCUAUAAGAGAGGAAUAACUGAGGGAGACCGGAGCUAAUACCGGAUAAUAUAAUGAACCGGGGGGCGGAAGGGAGAAAGACGGUUUUGCUGUCGGGUAUAGAUGGAUUCGCGCCGGUGUAGCUGGUUGGUCAGGUAACGGCUUACCAAGGGAACGAUGCGUAGCCGACCUGCGAGGAUGAUCAGCCACACUGGAACUGAGACACGGCCCAGACUCCUACGGGAGGCAGCAGUAGGGAAUCUUGCGCAAUGGGCGCAAGCCUGACCGAGCAACGCCGCGUGAGGGAUGAAGGCCUUCGGGUCGUAAAACUCUGUUUUUGGGUAAGAAACGAUGUGUAUGAAGCCAUGCGCGUCAUGACGGUACCCAAUCAAAAAGCCCCGGCUAACUACGUG